UACGUAGGGUGCAAGCGUUGUUCGGAAUCAUUGGGCGUAAAGCGCGUGUAGGUGGCUAGUUAAGUCGGGUGUGAAAGCCCAGGGCUCAACCCUGGAACUGCCUUUGAUACUGCUGGUCUGGAGGUCGAGAGAGGUGAGUGGAAUUCCGAGUGUAGAGGUGAAAUUCGUAGAUAUUCGGAGGAACACCAGUGGCGAAGGCGGCUCACUGGCUCGAUACUGACGCUGAGGUGCGAAAGCGUGGGGAGCAAACAGG
rnacentral:rRNA from 1 species